GGCGAAUCGAACGCAAAAAUUAUGGGCCCAGUUUUUGAGAUCUAAAUGAAGUUCGAAAAUCGCCGUUAGGGGCGCUUGUGAUGAUUGGGAUACUAGAAAUACACAGCUUCUUAUGGCAAGAAUAACUAUUUUGUUAUAAAUUAUAGAGCCAAGUUAAUAUUUGGGCAUAUUUUUACCAGAGUUAGCUUUUAGAAACGUGGUUUUUCUAAUUGAGCAAUGUGCGUGGCUAAAAUUGUGAAUACAAAACCUUAAAUUUGAGUUUGAAAAUGCAUACACGACCGAAGAAACAUAUAAGCUGCUAAAAUAAAUCUUCCCUAGAACUGUUGUACAAAAAAGAUAGAAGUUCCAGCAACAAAUUUAUCACCAGUUCAACCUUUGAUUUGAUGUAAACAGUAAUUGUUUCUUGAUGAGAAAUGCGAAUGAAAUAGUUUAUGGUGUGAUUGUGUUAGUGUUUUAUUAAUAGUUUUGUUGAUGCAGUUUAAAGGUUCAUAGUUUUUCAUUAAAACAUUUGAAAUUGACAUGUUUACAUGCAGUUUAGUGUGAUACCAUUUUAAUAAACAUUAAAAUCUUUCGAACUAGUAGUGGUUUUAUGGCGAUUGACAGAUUGAAUAACGAAAAUUAAGAGUAUUUUAUCAGGAAUAACUUAAUCAUAAAUGGAAACUGAAGACGAACGUUACCAUUGCACCCUUUGAUCGGUGUUAUCUAUUCCAUAACUUUUUAUAGCUGAAACUAGAGAGUAGGUAUAUUGAGCUGAAACGUUUCCUGUGUUCAAUAGCGUUUUUUCUAGCGUUGAAUUGUAAGUUUUAAUGUCAUUAGCAAAGUUUUGCAAAUUGUCACUGUUUCGUAGACAAUUAAAUUCAAGAUAUAUUAUAUUCAAUGUCACCUAAUAAUUGUAAAGGUUUUUCUAUUGAUAUUCACUUUAUUAAUAUAAGGUAGGUUUGUAAAUAAAAUAUUAAUGAAUAAAUAAUGUACUCAGUUUAUUUCAAAAGCACAAAAAUACAGAGUUGUGAAUAUGUAUAUACGCUGACUUAUUUCAUCAUAUAAAUAUUUAUUUAGCAAUAUUAAUACAUUACAACUUUUGUUUCUAUUAACUAAUUCCACUAAAUUUAAUAAAUAAAAUAUACAAUAUAUAAAUUUAAUAUACAAUUUAGCACUUAGAUAUUAAAUAUCUAUAUGUACUAUGCCAAAAAAUAAAACAGGAACAUCAUAUUAUAUCAAGAACACAAAAAA